UCCCAUGACUAUGUGAUGAAGUAAAUGUUGGUAGGGACAUCUGAAUUAAUGUGAGGAAACGCCAACUUUUCUGAUUGAUAGGA